GGAGGGGGAGUCGGCGGGACUUCAUCCCCACAGCCGGGGACUGAGACGUCUACACGGCGUUCCUUCCUCGCUCAGUGCUUCGCGGUCGGGCCGCCUCAGAGGGGCCUGGAGCUCCUCCUUGGUGCUCCUCUUCGGUGCUGUGACCGUCAGACCAGCGGGAACUCAAAUUUGGACACAGGCGGUUUCAACGAGAUCCGGCAGCGAGCCACACGCACGUGUCCGCCUUCCACGUCGCCACAGAGGUCAGACGCUCGUGCCUGAGAGGAACAGCUUCAAAAGGCACGUUGGGACGUAGGGUGGUGGCUGAACCAUCUAAGUCCUGGGUUGCAAACCGGCUCGUCUGUCUGCAGGACACGUUCCGCAUCCCUUCGGAGCAGAGCCGUUUCCAGUGCGGAGCUCGAAACGCACCUCGAGGAACUCCGGAGGGAUUUUCUCCUGCUUCAACGGACGUCGAAGGAGGCGAGUCAUUGGCCAGGGUUUGUGGGCAGAACGUGACGUCCGGUUUGUUAGACUGGUGUGCACGGCGACGGAGCCUUUCAGACCCUGCUUUUGAACUUCUAACAUGUGCCCUCUUGGCUCUGAGCUCGGAUCCGAAGCCAUCGGUGGCUCCCCGUUGCCUAUUAAAUGGACUCCGUCUUCUAAGUCCUCCGCGAGGUGGGUCCGGACCCAGCUUUCCCGACACGUGUCCACGUCCUUGGUGCUGCCCUGCGGGUCCACCUGCCACUGCUGAGACGCACGCCGGGUCCUUCCUCCGCGGACACGCAAUCCCCCUUCGGGACGUGAGGACGGCCGCCUUAGCCACUGCGCAGGUUUCUGUGUAACAGUUAAGCACGUGGCCUCUGCCACCCUGAGGCAGGAGCCGCGGCCAGGCACUGGAGGCUAGGCGGCUGCGUGACCCUGGACGGGCUCUGUGCCUCGGUUGCUCAUCGGUAAAACGGGGACGGUAAGAGUGUCCACCCCACGAGACUAAAUUAUCUAACAGACAUAAAGCUGCCGUGGUGAUGCGGAGCGCGUGUUAGCCGAUGGCCGCGCCUGGAAUGCGGAGGGCUCCCAGGUGGAGGCGUGAUGUUCCUGACCCCGAGCGGGAGACGCCUUAUCUGGCUGGAGGUUUGGGAAGCAGCCAAGUGGGCCUGACCCCCGCGUCCUUGUCCCCUUGGGGGACACCGAUGGUGGCACCAGCCCCGCCGCGUGGGGAGGGGCUGUGGGGGGGGGUCCGGCGCCCCUGUCACCGGGUCAGGCGGCCUGAUUAGAAGCCUCAGCCGCCCUCCCCCCAGACUACACCGUUCGCAGGCGGUACUAACCGCGGUAUUUUGGCCUCUUCCGCCUUCCCGCGUGUCUCAUUUCUGUCAGUCUAGAUGGGGACUGGAGGGAAACUGCCCUUCGCUGCCGGACAGGCCUCCCCCGAGACCCAGGCUGGGGAUGCCACCAAGGCUGCUGGGCCGAUGAAUUAGCAGGGUACCAGCCCCGGGCACAUAACCCACCUCGCAGCGGACCUCUUCCGGCCAGGAAUCCGCUCUGCGCAUGGAGAGGCUGGUGGAAAAGUCGGCCUCUGCUUGUGGUCUUUAUCACCGCCGGCAGAUGUGUGGUUUGUGCUGGGCUGGGACCCCCUUCCCCAGAACCAGCAGGGCUUCUCCGUCUGGCGUGCAGCUGGGCGCUGCCCUGGUGUCCCCAGGGUACCCAGUGUCCCCAGUAUCCCACUGCCCUCAUGUCCCCAGUAUCCCACUGCCCCAGUGUCCCCCUGCCUCAGCGUCCCCAGUGUCCCACCGCCCCAGUGUCCCCCUGUCUCCACUGCCCUCGUGUCCCCAGUGUCCCCAGUGCCCCUUCUGCCCCCUGGUCUCACUCUCUCGGGACCCCAAAGCUCUCCAGCCACUAGACAAGUACUCUGCCUCAGGAGGGGACUGAAGGUCACAGGGGGUCGGGUUGGUCACGGCAAAAGGGUCAGGAGGGAAAUCCAUGGACCUCCAGGGUUUCCGGCCCGGCUCCCCAUCCCUUUGCCGCCACCCCCUCAGGAACCGUUUCUGACAUUUUUCUGUGGCCAUCAAGGUCUCCGACUCCGUGAAAUUUUAACGCCACAGAUUUACUGUGAACCUGUUUGUGUGCCGUGGCCUGUGCACCACGAGUCCCACAGUAUCUGAGGCCCUUUGUCCCCCAAGAACUAGCUUUGCCUCCUCAGGGGCAACAUCAGCACAGCUGGGAAUGAAGGAUAUUCUAGAAGGAUCUAGAAGGAUUUCAGGGGACGCGGAUGUCAGUCUGCCUCCCUGCUCCUGCCCUGUCCCCACCUCAUCCGCCACAUUAGCGGGCGGCUUGCAGAGAAUUCGGGGGACACGUCCUCUACGGCAGAAACUGGCCGGAUGGCGAGCAGGGCCACGCGCUCCUGGAACAUCGGGGUUCCUUCGCCCCAGAGGUGAAACUCCCCAGACCUCGCUCCCAGAGGGACGCUGGCCUGGCCCCUGCGACAGGGGCGGAAAGCCGGCCAAUCCCGCGGAGGCCCCGAGCCUCCCUCACCUCCACCUCCUUGACCUUCGGUCUCCUGACACCCAGGCGGGUGGAGGUGGCCACAGAGGGCAGGAGCCCCACCCCAAACCUCGCCUGUGAGGGGGACCUUCCCACCCCUCCCAGCUCCUCCCCCCUCUCCCCACCCCCUCCCGCAGCCUCCCCCCACUCUACCUCACCUCCUGCCCCUGCCUCUCCCUGGCACUGGGGUCACCCCUCCCUCCGAGACAGCCUUCCUGUGCUCUGUGCCCACCACGGCUGCCUCCGUCCAUGCCUCUCACGGGAUUGUCUGGCCCCAAGGUCCCCUCUUCUCUAGGGAGACCCCUGAGCCUCUCCAUGAGCCCCCAGACCGUUCCUGCCCCUGUGAUCUUGCCGCUGGCCAAGCUGAGGGGCCCAGUGUAGACGUCUGACUGGGCUGAGCUGCCCGGUUCCCCUGCUGCUCUGGGCGGGAGUCGGCCCCAAGGCCUCUCUUGCUGCCUCCACCAGAACUGCUACAGUUGCUACGUCUUUGCCCUGGAGCGAACCCUGAUGUGAAAACACAGACACACGCGAGGAAAACACAUUCGGUUAAUUAGCCCCGUGGAAACAAUGCCGUCUUCCAGGUCUCCCCGUGGCGUGCAGGGGGAGCAGGGCCUGUCCCUGUGCCCACGGGGAGCCGGCCCCUCGUCCCUUCACCUGGGUUCGCCAGUCACCUGGUGGGGAAGGGCCCCCCGGAAAACCCCUCCUUUCAUCCUGUCGUUCCGUUUGUUUGUUCGGUGGCAAAAUACACACAAACGUGGAAUCUACCACUUUAACCAUUUGUUCGCAAGUGGACACCUUCGUGGCACCGCGCGCCCUCGCUCCCGCCAUCCAGCCCAGAACUCCACCUGCGCAACCAGCAGCCGGGUCCCACAGCCCUCGUCCCCUCCGUCUCCCAGAACCUGCCCCUUCCAGGUCCGCGUCUGGGUGCCCGUCCGCAGCGGGCUCACUUCCCUGCGCGUCCUCUGGGUCUGCCCAGUGACGGCAGGUGUCGGCCCGCACUCUUCCUUCGGGCUCAGUCAUAUUGUGCUGUUGUCGAUCCCACACCGUCUUCCAGUCACCUGUGGACGGACCCUGGGGCCGUUUCCACCUCCUGCUAUUGUGAGUGGUGCUUCAUCCAACGCUGGUGAGCAAUGUAGCGUUUUUAACCUUCGUGUUUCAUUACAUACCCGUGCUCUUUAUAGAAAAAUCAGAAAUGCAGAGAAAUCAAAGUGCACAUCAGGGGGCA